rnacentral:lncRNA from 1 species
CCCCCCCCCCGUGCGGAGCGGGGCCACCCCGGGGGGUGCCGGUGCCCGGCGGGCAGCGCGGGGCCGCCCCGACGGCCGCGGGGGAGCCGGGGAGCGCCGAGGAGCAGCGGCUGCGCCGCUCGGCGAUUGGAGAAAGAAAGAGGCUCAUUGAGCCCGGGGCCAGCGCGAUGGGCUGAGCCCGUCCCGACUGAAGUGACUCACUGCACUCCGCCGGCCCCGCGCUCUCGCUCACUCCCUCGCUCGCUCCCGCUGGCGGCGGCCGCCGCCUUCCCCCGGCCCUGGCCCCGGCCCCGUCCCCCGCCGCCCCCCGAGCCGUGAGACAGGUGAUGUCAGCCGGCCGGAGAAGGGAGGAAAACAACCAUAGGCUUGGGAUGUGCAAGAUUGUCACUAGCCUGAUACAGUAAAUGGACAUGUAGAUGGACUUCCUUCCUCAGCCCUGCUCACACUGUCUGGUAUGGAGAUGAAGAUACCAUUAGGAAAUUUUAAACUUGUUUUUGAAUAGAACUUGUACUUGAUAAAGCCCCUUGGUUUGUUUUCCACCAUGGACUGAGCACAGAGGUUGCACAUCAGUGCUCAGGAUCCCUCUGUUUCUGCUCAUGGGAUACUACAGAGGGGUUCAGCUGGUGAUGAGCAGGAGUCAGUUCUGCCAUACGUGAGUGUUUCUUAACUGCUGCAGACUGAAGAUCUACCUACACUUUUUAAAACCAUAUCCUCUCUUUUGGUGUGCAUGUGUCUAGCUGUUGUUUGCCUGGGGGAAGGAGGAAUGAAUGAAGAACUUAGCUUUUAGGUAAACAAGAAGUUACUGUUGUACUGUUAAAAUUACAAGCAUUUUAAAUUAGGUAUUGACAGCAGUUGAGAGCUGGUUCUCAACUAUGCUGGCAGGCAACUAGAUGUCUACCAGCUCCUAGGGGAAGCCUUAUUGCAGGCUGUGAGAAUAACUCAUUAACCAGUUAGUCUACGGCAGUACUACUCAACAUAUGGUCUGUGGGCUGCUGGUGGUCUGGAAGACAUUAAAAAGUGGUCUGAGAAAUGAUUGCACAAGAAAGGCAGAAAUAACCCCACAGAGACAGAUCCACAUUCUCACACCACUAGCAGACUUGUGCCCGUGUCACCAAGCUGCCCUGUGUCAGCAGGCUAUGCUAAGAUGUAAUUGCUUUAGUCUCCCAUUUUGAGCCUCAAUGGAUGGACCUCAAGUAAUGACAUGAAAGGGGAACUUUUGCUUGAUCAGAUUGAUGCAGAACAAGUCUUCUCCCAUUAAAUAGGAUGAAUGCCUUGUCUCCUCUUUCUUGGGUUUUUGAGACACGAGAUGGGCUAAGGGAUGCUGCUUCUACAUCUAUGUUGCUAGCGAUAAUGAAUGCUACAGGGAAACGGACGGCGGCAAGCCCAUUUCCUUCACAGUGGGAGGAAAGUAGUAAUUCAGGAGACCAUUAAACUUUAGAAAUACCUCUACAAGGUCCCUACAAAGAUACACUCCAUUUAGAUUAAAGUCCCGUAGGGCCAAUUACCUUGGAAGAACAUAAGAACUUAAACAAAAGCUGAGUUAGGUAUGCUGCCCACCAAUGGGUCUGAACAAAAAUGGAUGCAGUGAGAAAACACUUGUGUAUUAUGAAAGUGAGAACAUUUAGAGUAGCUCUGUGCAAUAACCAGCUUUUACUGUUCCCCCAGGAUCAGUGUGCACAGGAAAUAUCUGUGGCAUGUUUGCUUUUCCUGGAGAUGACAGCAACCCUUUGGCAACCACUUUAUAAUACGUGCUCAAUACUUUUCAAAAUGUUGGGCUGUUGUUUUAUGAAUGUGCUUGAUUUCUGGGUGCUGGAGCUUUUGUGCUUUGAUUUCUACUGCUCCUAACUUGCCCAUUCCCAUUUCAACCCUGGACACUUCUCCUUGAGUGUCAUUCUUUAGCUAUGAUGGUGCCUCCAUCUUUCUCAGCAGAAACAUUGGGAAGGGGUUUGAGGAAAAAUGGCAGCAAACAGAAGUCCUUUAUGCUUCUUGUGUGAAAAUAACCUCUACUGGGUGACUGUGAGCUCCUGGAGAUGGGAGAGAUGACUUAACACCGGGUUGUGGCAGGAGGAUUAGUGCAAACAAAUUGAAACCCUUUGUUUCAGUCAGUGUUUUCUGUGAGCAGGUUGAGUAAUUUGCACAAGCCUGCAAAGCAGAGUCCAGUACUAGCGCUGGAAUUAAAGUCUGCCUUUGCUUCAGCUGAUAGACCACUGACAUAAUUGAUCAGUUAGCUAUUUUCAAUCAGACCUGAGCACUGGAGUGCACUAAACUUUAUGCAAGGGAUCUGGAAAAUGAGCCAGUCCUAAGAUGCUGUAGUUACAAGUUCCUGAAAGUGUUUACUGAUGCGAAUUACUGUAUGGUUUUGAAAGUGCCUCUUCCAUUUAACAUCAUAAAAGAACUUUCUCAAGAGAAGACACAAUAAACAGUCUGAGGUCUAAUAACUGAACAUGCAAGUCUGAAUUGUUUUAAAAUACUUCUUGCUUAAAUAGGAAUCAUUAACAUUGUAACUGAUAAUGAGAAAAAUGCUUAUGCCAUUAGUGGUUUACCACUUUGGUUCCGAAAGGAUAAAAACAACUUCAUAAAAGAGACCACAGACUGUCCAUUUUCAGCCUCAGUGUAGGGUGAAUGCUUCAGUGAAUACGAAACCCAUCAUUUAAAAUAAUAUUUUCAUAUUUAUGUUUGGGAAGAAUGGUCAGAAUGCCCUUUGAGUACGCUGGAGCUCCAUGAUGCAUAGCUGGGUGGCUGCAGCAGAAGGGACAGCAUUGUGAUUGACCGUGGUGUGGUGCUGUAAGUUUCACUGCGGUGAACAAGUCUGUGUCUGGCCUUCCCCCCAGUGAUGGUGUGGGGCUGGACAGGUUCAUUUGGACAACCCCUGGUCCUUUCUGUCUUCCCCCAGCAUUGCCUGCUGCAAGACCAGUUGGGUUUUUCUAUGUGGUUGAAUCUCAGUCUGAGUUCUGUGAACUGGUGAAGGAAACAGAAGAUUUUAGGUCUCCCUAUGGCACUGGUGGGACAUGGUGGCUCAGGAACUGGGUCAGGGGUGAUGGUAUGGCCUUAAUGAAUUUGUCCAUCAGUGCCAGCUGCUCACUCCUUUGAGGAUGACUCCUUCCCCUUCUUCUGAACAACUUCCCUUGGACAAACCCCAGGAUGGACUCAGUCCCCUGCUCAGCUUGGUGGAAGGGCCCUCAAUGACUUCAGCCAGGACUGGAGCAAACCCUGGAGAUCUGGUGUUCCCUCUUCUGAACUCUGCGUUCAGGACUCAAUGUGCUGUAUUCUAGCCUUGUUCUUAGCAAGGGCAGCUGGAGGUGGAGGUAUCCUCUCAGACUGUCUCUGGAACAAAGUUUUACUGAUGCUUUGUGUGGUUGUGUUAAAUUGACAGAGAUGUUUGCUCUUACAUAAUAAUGGAAAGUUCGCCCCGCUCCCCUCAGCAAAAUGACCGUUGUGCUGUAUUCAAAAUGAAAAUCAAUCAAAGAAGGAAAACAGCUGGGCAAAUGACAAGAGAAACAGAGCUGUGCCAAGGUGAAUUUUUAUGGAAAUGCUCUCUGAACAGUAUUUCCAUGAAAAGGCAACUUACAGAUGUAGGCUGCGCUUACAUGAAGGAGAGCGUAAUGCACCGCACCCUGAACCUGGCAAGGUCUAUAAACUUCUCACAUAUAUAGUUUAGGCAACAAAGAUGCCUGCCAUGCUUAGGACACAAAGGUUUUCUUCUUUACUGUAGUGUAAUCGUAUUAGCCCCGAUACUGGAAAAAAAAAAAUAAGCUGUGGGAAAAAAGUUUAUGGAAGAAACCCUCAAAUAUAAAGUAAAUAAACUAUUCUACUGAAAAGAAGACUUUCAGUAUCAUAGGAAAUCUAAUGACUUAUCAACAGCAUCUUAGCUAUGACAGUGACUCGUAAGUCUGUCUGUGUGAGGCUCUGUGGUGGUCCUCUUUGUGAAGUAGCAUGAGUGGCUUAAUGACUGUGGAAAGUUGUUCCUGUUGAUGGCAGUGAGAUUUUUCUCAUUCACUUUAGUAGAAAAAGGAUUAGGGAAGUGAUAUAAAAAGCAAGCAAUGAAAGAUGAUUGAUGUUAGCGUUCAAAAAAUGGGAGGGGAAAAGAAGUAAAACAGUAAAAACAUCAUCUUACGCUUGAAAUUGCCACACUUAGAUCUACUUAGCCAUAUUUUCUGGAGGUGUUGUAGGCUUUUCGAUGGGACCCUAAAUGGCCUGACCAAUUUUACUGUAGACUUACUAUCAGCAGAACUCUUGCAAAGGCGGAUUUUUGGAAUCUGUUAGUUUUCCCUUGUUUCUGGGAUUUUUCAUUUCAUACCGAUCAAGUCUGAAAUGUGCUGAGAGAGAAAUUCUUGAGACAACAUUGGAAAUUUUCAGCCUAUUCCUGCAUGUCACUUUCUGAAAUAAAUGGGAAUGCAUUUUUUAAAUUUAUGCUGGCUUAUAACUCUAUGUCAUUACUAUUCUAAAAAUAAUAAUCUGGGAACUGCUUAACUGACUUGAUUGUUUACAUUUCCUUUUGACACUUCCAGCAAUAGGUUAGAGGUAAUAGUAUUAAAGCAUGUUCUUCUGUCAUCCUCUCAGAACUUGUCACUGUCAAAUAGCAUAUGACCAUUUUAAAGGUAAAGAUAGUUGCCAAAGGCCUUAGUGUAUUCAUAAAGGUCUGCAGUGGAGAUCCAAUUACAGAAAAACACUGAAUUAGGUAGCUCUUGGCUCUGAGAGUUGGGAGUAGAGGUGACUGACUGUUAUUUUUAAACAAUCUUAGGUUUACCAAAAGAAAAGGAAAAGAAAAAAAGGGAUAUCAGUAGGACUAAAAUUCUGAGCAGAUACAGUAAUGGCACUAAAAAGAAUUAGAAGAUGUGCUCUACAAGGGGUUGGUAGCUCUCCUGGAAGAUCCUUAUGGUAAGGUUGUCCAGAGAGGCUUUGAAGUCUCCUAUGGAGAUAUUCAAGACCUGUCAGGAUGUCUAUCUGUGAGACCUAUUGUAGGGUACCUGCUUUAGCAGGGGUUUGGACUUGAUGAUCACUUGAGGCCCCUUCUAACUCAUGUGAUUCUGUGAUACCAAUGCAGGUAAGUACUCUGUGUCUGUCAGUUUUUGAGCAGAGGAUCCACACCUACUGAGCAUCUCACAGGUGUGUGUAGCACCUCACAGCAGCAAGCACAGGUGCAAUAAUGAGGUCACCCGCCAGCAGUAUCUGGAAGCGCAUUCCUGCUCACUGGGUGACAGACAGUGCCCAUGCUCCCCUCGUCAACCUCCCAGGCUGCCAUCAGACCUGUAUAAUAAAUGUAAUAAGCCAUGGAAAAUGCAUCAGUAGCACGUGCUGACAUCAGUGGAACCCACAUGGGGAUGGAGAAGGGAUCCUGUUACCCCCGCUCAGCUGCACAACCUUUUAAUCCAGCUGGGAUCUACAUUUUAACCCUUUCAAAGCUCUCUCAGUGAGGAGGGAAAGGGCAAGAAAAUGUUCCUCUUUUUUCACUGAGGUUUAACCUCAGAUCUGUGUGAGCACAGACAGGCCAUGGGGAAACAAAUGCCAAAGGCUCAGCGAAUAUUGCAGAUGGUAAUGGCUGUCCUGGAGUGAGUGAACACAAAGCCAAGUUCAAUCUGCUGCCAUUAAUAAACUGUUUGUGCUGUGCUCUCAUCCUCUGAGACAUCAGAAGAGCGUUGGAGUGAAUUACAGCCUUCUGUUUAUGCUGGGACUGAUUAUUGUCCCUUGUGUAGUGGAGACACGUUUCACUACAAGAAGCCAUUCAGGACAUUCUCCUGAAAAGAAGAAAAAUCAGUUUAUGCCAAUGCAGGACUUCCUGCUAUCUCUGGUUACCCCCACAACCGCACACCCACACCCACAGGCAUGCUCAUGCAUUGCCUGCUUGACACUAGAAAGGGAUAUUACGUCUCUGGGUUAUUUCCCCAGUGCUUUUAUUUUUCAGCCCACUACAGGAAGGGUUCAUAAAGUAAGUAUAUCCAGAAAGAUGUUUUUGUUCCCCACUUUGGGUUUCAGUCCCAAGACUGCCAAUUAAAUUAUCCCAUAAAUCCUCCAUUAUAGGUAGUAAAACCUAAUUUUAGAUUUCCUGCCCACUCUAGUGUCCUGCCUGAUUGCUACCAGUUGGAUAGAGGCUCAACCUGUUAAGCAGACAAUUGCAGUGAACUGUUUCUUUCUGUG